UAUUAGAUGGCUGAAUUGUAAGCGUAGGUCUUUUAAACCUAAGAUAUUAAAGGUAACAUUUAUUUCUAAUAA
rnacentral:tRNA from 1 species